rnacentral:lncRNA from 1 species
AAUUCUUUUGCUUCUACUUGCCGUCUUCCUGCAGAACGGGCUCGGGAACCAAAUCCUCCUAAUCUGAAAUGGUUAAGUAAGGAAUGAGCUACACUAGCCCAGUAAAGACAUCACACUAUCUCCUUGUCACAGAAGUAAAGGUUGGUAGAAAACGAAAACGACCAAUGGAGCAUAAUUUAUAACAAACUCAUUUAUCAAUAAUAAAACUCUUUACUAUCCACCUACCUCGGUGAGAUUCAUGAAAACAAUUACAUCAUAAAUAUCAUAAGAUCACGCACACUCUGCAACAUAACACAUAUCAUGCUUUUGUAUUUCAAUCAUCAGGCAACAAUUUUCCUCUUUUAUCAGCAUACUAGUAUCCAUGGGGAUCCAUAAGGGGUCCCCGCUACACGUGAACCAUUCACAUUAAUAACUUAAUUCCAGGGCCGUCCCCAUACUCCGUCCAGUAUGGGCACCAAAACCAUAAACCUCAAUACCUCGUCCGGUAUGAGGGUGAAACGGGCCGUCCCCAUACCCUGUCCGGUAUGGGUGCCAAAACACAUAAAGUCUCCAUACCCCGUCUGAUAUGAGAGACCACGUUCCCGAUAAGGUUCCCUAUGGAUCCGGUCCAUCCACCAUCUCUAAGGAUAUCUAGUUAGGCUGUCGACAUUAUU